UACGUAGGGACCAAGCGUUGUUCGGAUUUACUGGGCGUAAAGGGCGCGUAGGCGGCAAUUCAAGUCAGCUGUGAAAUCUCCGAGCUUAACUCGGAACGGUCAGCUGAUACUGUUUUGCUAGAGUACAGAAGGGGCAAUCGGAAUUCUUGGUGUAGCGGUGAAAUGCGUAGAUAUCAAGAGGAACACCUGAGGCGAAGGCGGGUUGCUAGGCUGACACUGACGCUGAGUGCGCGAAAGCCAGGGAGCAAACGGG
rnacentral:rRNA from 1 species